UACGACGGGUGCAAGCGUUACUCGGAAUUACUGGGCGUAAAGCGUGCGUAGGUGGUUCGUUAAGUCUGAUGUGAAAGCCCUGGGCUCAACCUGGGAAUGGCAUUGGAAACUGGCGAUCUAGAGUGCGGUAGAGGGUAGUGGAAUUCCCGGUGUAGCAGUGAAAUGCGUAGAGAUCGGGAGGAACAUCUGUGGCGAAGGCGACUGCCUGGACCAGCACUGACACUGAGGCACGAAAGCGUGGGGAGCAAACAGG
rnacentral:rRNA from 1 species